AUUAGUUAGUUGGCAGGGUAACGGCCUAACCAAGGCGACGAUGGAUAGCCGGCCUGAGAGGGUGACCGGCCACACUGGGACUGAGACACGGCCCAGACUCCUAACGGGAGGCAGCAGCUAAGAAUCUUCCGCAAUGGGCGAAAGCCUAGACGGAGCGACGCCGCGGUAGGACGAAGAAAGGCCGGAAGGUUGUAAAAGUCCUUUUCUCGAUGAAGAAUAAGGCAAGCGAGGGAAUGCGCUGUCGGAUGACAUUUAGUUGAGGAAUAAAGCCCCGGCUAAUAACGUAGCCAGUAGCCGCGGUAAACACGUAAGGAGCGAGCGUAGUACGGAAUUAUUGGGCGUAAAGGGCGCGUAGGCGGCUAGGCAAGCCUGGUGUAAAAGGCCACAGCUUAAACUAGUGGAGAGAGCGCUGGAAACUGCCUAGCUAGAGUAUCGGAGAGGGAGCUGGAAUCCCUGGUAGUAGGGGUGAAAUCUGUAGAUAUCAGGAAGAACAUCUGUGGCGAAGGCGAGCUUCUGGCCAGAAACUGACGCUGAGGCGCGAAAGCGUGGGGAGCGAACAGGAUUAGAUACCCUGGUAGUCCACGGCUGUAAACGAUGUGCACUAGGUGUUGGCUGUGAUAACGGUCAGUGCCGAAGCAAACGCGAUAAGUGCACCGCCUGGGGAGUAUGCUCGCAAGGGUGAAACUCAAAGGAAUUGACGGGGGCCCGCACAAGCGGUGGAGCAUGUGGUUUAAUUCGGUGAUACGCGAGGAACCUUACCAGGGUUUGACAUAUGGCGGACUGCGGCAGAGAUGUCGCUUCCCUUCGGGGCCGUCAUACAGGUGCUGCAUGGCUGUCGUCAGCUCGUGCUGUGAGGUGUUGGGUUAAGUCCCGCAACGAGCGCAACCCCUGCUGUCUGUUACCAGCACGUAAUGGUGGGGACUCAGGCGGUACUGCCGGUGACAAACCGGAGGAAGGUGGGGACGACGUCAAGUCAUCAUGGCCCUUAUGUCCUGGGCUACACACGUGCUACAAUGGCCGGUACAGAGUGCAGCGAAACCGCGAGGUGGAGCAAAUCACAGAAAGCCGGUCUCAGUACGGAUUGGAGUCUGAAACCCGACUUCAUGAAGCUGGAAUCGCUAGUAAUCGCGCAUCAGCAUGGCGCGGUGAAUACGUUCCCGGGCCUUGUACACACCGCCCGUCACACCA
rnacentral:rRNA from 1 species